rnacentral:rRNA from 1 species
GACAGAGGGUGCAAACGUUGUUCGGAUUUACUGGGCGUAAAGGGCGCGUAGGCGGCAAUUCAAGUCAUCUGUGAAAUCUCCGGGCUUAACCCGGAACGGUCAGGUGAUACUGUUUUGCUAGAGUGCGGAAGGGGCAAUCGGAAUUCUCGGUGUAGCGGUGAAAUGCGUAGAUAUCGAGAGGAACACCAGAGGUGAAGACGGGUUGCUGGGCCGACACUGACGCUGAGAGACGAAAGCUAGGGGAGCGAAUGGG